ACAAUAAAAUGCAGAUUUUAAGUCCUUGCCUUUGGAAUGGAACUUGCCCUUUGUUAGGACACGUUUACAUUUGUAAGGUAAAUCUCUAUCUGUAAAAGGUGCCUCCCUCUCUGUACCAGGAAGAAGAAAGGCGAUGACCUACUCUCCAAAAACUCUUAAUCAAUACCAAAGGCAAGGACUUAAAAUCUGCAUUUUAUUGUGCUAGUCUGGUAACCUCCUGUAACUGACUUCCCUCCCCCUCCCAACGUUGGCAUUCCUUAAGGAUUAAGCAUCUUCCCUUAGGCUAGGAAC
rnacentral:lncRNA from 1 species